UUCAGACGUACACGCAUUAUUUGGAACUGAAAAUUACGUAAUUUAUCGACCUGCGGGCUUGUAUUUGUUAUAAAUCAUAAAAAACCUGUGACGCCAGUGGAACUACGUGGUUUUCUUUCGUGAUGAUUUGAUGAUACCUCAAUGGAAUUGAGCCAAGUUUUCGCCGUAUUGGGUGCUAGAUGCCCCUUGGAGUUAAGCCCCAGUGCCACUAUACUACCUUACCAGUUAUGUGUGGGUGUCCUAAGGCACCCCAGAGAUGCAUAGGGCCUUCACAAACUCACGCCACGCCUUCCUAUCUUCAGCAACCCUCGUGAUCUCGCUCCACCAGCUCAAACCUGCCACUCGCAGCUCAUUUUUCGACGGACUGCUUCCAUGAGUGGACAAGGCGCCGACGAUCACGGCUUGCAUCACCUGUACUGCUAUGUAAUAAUAUAUAGCAUGCUGAACAAUACUGCCAUUAUACUAGGAUCAACGUCCUGCCCCUUCCCCGGCUAUGUACAAAUUGGAACUCCAUGCCCCUGCAUGCCCCUUUGACUGAGCAACAUGUGUGUGCUCGAAACACAUUCAAUUGCAACAAAAUGACUCCCAGGCUGACCUGGCUCAGCUCUUGUAUGUCUGAUCUACAUAGACAAUGGUUUCAAUGAAAGAGUGAAAAUUCUUCUCCAUGUACAAUCACUUUCAACGCCUACACUGACUACACCAAAUAUGAUCAUCACUCAACGUGUCUCACAUCAAGAUACUUUUCAAAAGUCAUCAAGAAGUGGAACAAUAUUUUUUUUUCCCAUUAUUGCCUGAAUAAUCCUAACUAAAAGUUAUUUCUCUAUUCUAUUUUUCCUGCAUGGAGUGGCGCUUUUCCGUCUAAUGGAACCAACAAGAACAUGUAUGCUCUGGGUUUUUAUUGUGCACCUUUCCAAUAUUACUAAUAAAGCAUUU
rnacentral:lncRNA from 1 species